ACCAGACUCCUACGGGAGGCAGCAGUGGGGAAUAUUGGGCAAUGGGCGCAAGCCUGACCCAGCAACGCCGCGUGAAGGAAGAAGGCCCUCGGGUUGUAAACUUCUUUUAUCAAGGACGAAACAAAUGACGGUACUUGAUGAAUAAGCCACGGCUAACUACGUGCCAGCAGCCGCGGUAAUACGUAGGUGGCAAGCGUUAUCCGGAUUUACUGGGUGUAAAGGGCGUGUAGGCGGGACUGCAAGUCAGAUGUGAAAUCCGGGGGCUCAACCCCCGAACUGCAUUUGAAACUGUAGGUCUUGAGUAUCGGAGAGGCAGGCGGAAUUCCUAGUGUAGCGGUGAAAUGCGUAGAUAUUAGGAGGAACACCAGUGGCGAAGGCGGCCUGCUGGACGACAACUGACGGUGAGGCGCGAAAGCGUGGGGAGCAAACAGGAUUAGAUACCCUAGUAA
rnacentral:rRNA from 1 species